GGCUCAGGAUGAACGCUGGCGGCGUGCCUAAUACAUGCAAGUCGAACGAAACUUCUUUAUCACUGAGUGCUUGCACUCACCGAUAAAGAGUUGAGUGGCGGACGGGUGAGUAACACGUGGGCAACCUGCCCAAAAGAGGGGGAUAACACUUGGAAACAGGUGCUAAUACCGCAUAACCAUAGUUACCGCAUGGUAACUAUGCAAAAGGUGGCUAUGCUACCGCUUUUGGAUGGGCCCGCGGUGCAUUAGCUAGUUGGUGGGGUAAAGGCUUACCAAGGCAAUGAUGCGUAGCCGAACUGAGAGGUUGAUCGGCCACAUUGGGACUGAGACACGGCCCAAACUCCUACGGGAGGCAGCAGUAGGGAAUCUUCCACAAUGGGCGAAAGCCUGAUGGAGCAACGCCGCGUGGGUGAAGAAGGUCUUCGGAUCGUAAAACCCUGUUGUUAGAGAAAGAAAGUGCGUGAAAAGUAACUGUUCACGUUUUCGACGGUAUCUUAACCAAGAAAGCCACGGCUAACUACGUGCCAGCAGCCGCGGUAAUACGUAGGUGGCAAGCGUUAUCCGGAUUUAUUGGGCGUAAAGGGACAGCAGGCGGUCUUUUAAGUCUGAUGUGAAAGCCUUCGGCUUAACCGGAGUAGUGCAUGGGAAACUGGGAGACUUGAGUGCAGAAGAGGAGAGUGGAACUCCAUGUGUAGCGGU
rnacentral:rRNA from 2 species